rnacentral:rRNA from 1 species
CCCGAAUGGGGAAACCCAGUGUGAUUCGUCACACUAUCAUUAACUGAAUCCAUAGGUUAAUGAGGCGAACCGGGGGAACUGAAACAUCUAAGUACCCCGAGGAAAAGAAAUCAACCGAGAUUCCCCCAGUAGCGGCGAGCGAACGGGGAGGAGCCCAGAGCCUGAAUCAGCAUGUGUGUUAGUGGAAGCGUCUGGAAAGGCGCGCGAUACAGGGUGACAGCCCCGUACACAAAAGCGCAUGUGCUGUGAGCUCGAUGAGUAGGGCGGGACACGUGGUAUCCUGUCUGAAUAUGGGGGGACCAUCCUCCAAGGCUAAAUACUCCUGACUGACCGAUAGUGAACCAGUACCGUGAGGGAAAGGCGAAAAGAACCCCGGCGAGGGGAGUGAAAAAGAACCUGAAACCGUGUACGUACAAGCAGUGGGAGCACAGGUUUACCUGUGUGACUGCGUACCUUUUGUAUAAUGGGUCAGCGACUUAU